rnacentral:rRNA from 1 species
UACGUAGGGUGCGAGCGUUGCCCGGAUUUAUUGGGCGUAAAGGGCGCGUAGGCGGCUCGGCACGUCCGUUGUGAAAUCGCCCGGCUCAACUGGGCGGGGUCAGCGGAUACGGUCGAGCUUGAGCAAGCUAGGGGGUAAUGGAAUUCCCGGUGUAGUGGUGGAAUGCGUAGAUAUCGGGAGGAACACCAGUGGCGAAGGCGGGUCUCUGGGCCGAUACUGACGCUGAGGAGCGAAAGCGUGGGGAGCGAACAGG